GACGAACGCUGGCGGCGUGCUUAACACAUGCAAGUCGAACGGAAAGGCCCUGCUUGCCGGGUACUCGAGUGGCGAACGGGUGAGUAACACGUGGGUGAUCUGCCCUGCACUUCGGGAUAAGCCUGGGAAACUGGGUCUAAUACCGGAUAGGAGCCAUUUUUAGUGUGAUGGUUGGAAAGUUUUUUCGGUGUAGGAUGAGCUCGCGGCCUAUCAGCUUGUUGGUGGGGUAAUGGCCUACCAAGGCGGCGACGGGUAGCCGGCCUGAGAGGGUGGACGGCCACAUUGGGACUGAGAUACGGCCCAGACUCCUACGGGAGGCAGCAGUGGGGAAUAUUGCACAAUGGGCGCAAGCCUGAUGCAGCGACGCCGCGUGGGGGAUGACGGCCUUCGGGUUGUAAACUCCUUUCGCUAGGGACGAAGCUUUUGUGACGGUACCUAGAGAAGAAGCACCAGCUAACUACGUG
rnacentral:rRNA from 1 species